rnacentral:lncRNA from 1 species
UCUCACCCUCACUCUCACAUGAAUUCACACUUUUGGACUAAUUCAUUGCUUCAGGUGCACAUACGCUAGGCGCUGGACAUUGCGUAAACAUAGCGAGCAGAUUAAAUGAUGCAGAAGUACAUUCAGGAGACCGGAUGAUGAUCAAUCUUGCCUUUGAACUUCUACAUAAACUUCAGUAAGCUCCGCUGACAAAUCUCACGGUCGUGCCCAAUGACGCGACACCCUUGACUUUGGAUAACCGGUACUGAUUCUCUUUGCUACUGAUCAUAACUAUUUUUUUUUCCAGGUUUUCUCAUCCGCCUUCGUUCGGUUAAUCUGCCAAAAGCGUUCUUACUAAAUCCAAUGGUGGAUUUAGGAGGAUAUGCGACCGAUUCAAAAGAGGAAAUGUAUAGCACCAGUCUCUUCCCCAACAACAAUAUUAUUGAAUUACCUAAAUAUUGUCCAUCACAUUUAAGUAACCCAAUAAUUCGAUUUCAAACCACAAAUUGUAUUUGCCAUUUUGGUACCAAUAAAAAAACCCAAACGAAAAGGGGAGGAAAAAAAAAAGGCUC